CCAGCAGCCGCGGUAAUUCCAGCUCCAAUAGCGUAUAUUAAAGUUGUUGUGGUUAAAAAGCUCGUAGUUGGAUCUCAACAGCGUGGUGGCGGUCGGCAUGCUUGCCGUUACUGCUGUCUUGCGCUGUGCUUUUUGCUGGAGGGUGGCAGGUGCUCUUAAUCGGGUGUCUGUUGUCGCCAGCAGGUUUACUUUGAAAAAAUUAGAGUGCUCAAAGCAGGCUUUCACGCUUGAAUAUUCGUGCAUGGAGUAAUGGAAUAGGAACUCGUUUCUAUUUUGUUGGUUUUCGGAAAUCGAGUUAAUGAUUAAUAGGGACAGUCGGGGGCAUUUGUAUUCAAACGACAGAGGUGAAAUUCUUGGACCGUUUGAAGACAAACUACUGCGAAAGCAUUUGCCAAGAAUGUUUUCA
rnacentral:rRNA from 1 species